UAGGGAAUUUUCGUCAAUGGGCGCAAGCCUGAACGAGCAAUGCCGCGUGAACGAGGAAGGUCUUCGGAUCGUAAAGUUCUGUUGAAGGGGAAAAAGAGCGGAGAGAGGAAAUGAUCUCUGAUUGAUAUUACCCUUCGAGGAAGUCACGGCUAACUACGUGCCAGCAGCCGCGGUAAUACGUAGGUGGCGAGCGUUAUCCGGAAUGAUUGGGCGUAAAGGGUGCGUAGGCGGCCUGCUAAGUCUGGAGUGAAAGGUACCGGCUCAACCGGUACAGGCUCUGGAAACUGGCGGGCUAGAGAGCAGGAGAGGGCGGUGGAACUCCAUGUGUAGCGGUAAAAUGCGUAGAUAUAUGGAAGAACACCAGUGGCGAAGGCGGCCGCCUGGCCUGUUGACUGACGCUGAGGCACGAAAGCGUGGGGAGCAAAUAGG
rnacentral:rRNA from 1 species